rnacentral:rRNA from 1 species
CCUACGGGGGGCAGCAGUGAGGAAUAUUGGUCAAUGGACGAGAGUCUGAACCAGCCAAGUAGCGUGAAGGAUGACAGCCCUAUGGGUUGUAAACUUCUUUUAUAAAGGAAUAAAACGAGGCACGUGUGCCUUUUUGCAUGUACUUUAUGAAUAAGGAUCGGCUAACUCCGUGACAGCAGCCGCGGUAAUACGGAGGAUCCGAGCUUUAUCCGGAUUUAUUGGGUUGAAAGGGAGCGUAGAUGGGUUGUUAAGGCAGUUUUGAAAGUUUGCGGCUCAACCGUAAAAUUGCAAUUGAUACUGGCAGUCUUGAGUACCGUUGAGGUAGCCGGAAUUCGUGGUGUAGCGGUCAAAUGCUUAGCUCUCACG